GAGCAUGUCAGACCACUGUCUCCCUCUCGAGCCAUAGGGAGUGAUGGUGUCUAAAAAACAUGCUAAAGUGACACGUUUUGGAGUUCACAGGGCCAUCGAUCUUACAGAGUUGAUCAAUUGGUAGUAUCAGACUCCUACAGAG